rnacentral:lncRNA from 1 species
GAAUACAUAUGAAGAGAAAACUAGUUAUGGUGGGGGAGAUAACUAUGGGGAUAACAAAUAUGGUGAGAAAACUGGCUAUGGAGAAAGUGGAUAUGGAGAGAAAACUAGUUAUGGUGAGGGAGGUAACUAUGGAGAUAGUGGCUAUGAAAAUAAGACUAGCUAUGGAGAUAGUGGCUAUGAAAAUAAGACUAGUUAUGGAGAUAGCGGCUAUGAAAACAAGACUGGCUAUGGAGAUAUUCCAUCUGAUACUACCUAUGGAGAGAAAACUAAUUAUGGUGAAGGAGAUACCUAUGGAAAAGGAGCUGCCUACUCAUCUGAGACCACUAAUUUUGAAGAGACUACUGAUGAAGGCAAAACUGGUGAGGAUUAUG